rnacentral:sRNA from 1 species
GCCCCACUCGCGGGCUCGCGCUUCGGUUUCCCCGGACCUGCUCGCAGCACCCUGCUGUCUUCCCGGUCCGGCCCGCUGCCCGCGGCGCCAGCACCAUGCUCUUCUAUUCUUUUUUCAAGUCCCUUGUGGGCAAGGAUGUGGUCGUGGAACUAAAGAAUGACCUGAGUAUCUCAACAUCAAACUAACUGACAUCAGUGUCACAGACCCUGAGAAAUACCCUCACAUGUUAUCAGUGAAGAACUGCUUCAUUCGGGGCUCAGUGGUCCGAUACGUGCAGCUGCCAGCAGAUGAGGUCGACACACAGUUGCUACAGGAUGCGGCAAGGAAGGAAGCCCUGCAGCAGAAACAGUGAUGGCUCCUCCUCCUCUUCCCCUCCCUCUUUCAUUGGUGACCCAUAACCCCAAGUCCCAGCCCAGAACCCCUAACCCCCAAUACUUGAAGGGGUUUUGUUUUUUUACUAAUGAUGGUUUUGUGGGUUUUUUUUUAAGGGAUGAGUGGAUGAGAGGAGUAAUAGGGAACAGCUAUCCUCUCUUGAGAAGGGGAGGAUAAGUAGGCUGGGAAACUUCAAAGCCUUCCCAGUCCCCAGCACAUGCCUUUCUCACUACUUCUCUGGAGAUGGUAGGAGAGUUUCCUAGGUCUUUCCAGGGCAGCAUGUGAUUCAUUUGGGGAUGGAAGGAAUCUGUCCCGCAUCGGGAAUAAAAUUUAUGAUGCAAA